rnacentral:tRNA from 1 species
GGGGAUAUAGUUUAAUUGGUAAAACAUGUAAUUUGCAGUUAUGAGUUAUUAGUUCAAGUCUAAUUAUUUCCA